ensembl:lncRNA
AUGUGCAAUUAUGUUCUUAUAGAGAAUCAGAAGUGAGACAGUUUUAAAUUAAGAAAUCAGUGACACGAUGCAUGAAUUAAUUCUGACUGUAAAAUAUGGAGGCAAUGAAGAAAGCAGCUUACACGCACUGAACAUUAACAAAAAUACAUAGGAAUAGCAAUGAAGACCUGCUUACACGUAUAUACAUGAGAUAAGCUGGUAUUGUUGACCAGAGAAGGGAACCUGGUAGUUUGAGUGCUCAUGACAGUAAUAAAAUGUCUCAGUUGUGUUUUUACAGGAGGAAAAUAAACAGAACUGGAUCAAUUCUCCACGUACAGCAGUCGGAAGGAAAAACCUAUGGGUUAAUUUGACUGGAUCUGAUAAGGCAAGUUUCUGGUUGAAUUGUUCACAGCGCCAUGUCUCCACAAACCUGACAAAGUGGGGCCCUAACUUCUGGCAGAGGACCAGGAAUGCUGUUAAUAAGGUGGGAGUUUAUAAAUUUGGGUUAGUAAAUUGGGGAAAGAAAACUGACGGCUUAAGUGGAGAAUUAUGAAGGAGUCUGACACGCUGCAAAAGCAACAUAUGCAAAUUCACAUACAUAAGCAGAAAACGCAUUAACCCUACAAAGACAAGACAAGCCCAUGAUGAUUAAUGCAUAGACAUUGAUUAAACCUGGCUUAGAACACAAAGAAAAAGAAAAACAGCUUGCUGUUUGUAUGAGUGAUAGAAUGGUGUGAAUGGUUAAUAAAAAACAUUUGAGUAUGUUGAAUCUAGGCAUGUUAAAGUGCAAAAAGUGCAAAUCGUGUGGUUUUAUUUAGAUUUUCGGUGUAUUGAGGAGGUGGAAUUAUGUGGUGAUGACUGACUGAUUCUGUCAGUUAGGUUUGGGUGGCUGUUGUUUUUGUUUUAAAUAGAGGGAGUUUUAGGAAACACGGACAUGUCCGAAAGGGGCCCAUUAUUUUUGUAACAGUGCACUCAAAGAAAACCUGUCAGGUGAUUUUGUUUUGUUUUUGUGUUUUCAGGAGCUAAUAAUCAGCUCUCUUUUUCUCAUUUUUGUUCUAAGCAGGCCUGCAACAGUGAAUAACAGCACAAAUUAUUCGGCUACCGGUGGGGAUCUGAUUAGGUCGCAAGUCCCUGUCUAAAGGAUUGUCGCGAUUCAAUCCAGUCAAAAACAUAAGGAACUAUUUUCCGAUGGAAAAUAAAAAUGAAGGAUCCCAGUUUGAAUAAAUCUGGACAAACAAUUUGCUUUUACUAGAGAAAGUUUCUGUUUUAUUGAGUGGGGUUAUAUUAUGGGAUUAUAGUAUAUUGUUGGGAGAAUCCUAAAGGUUGAAGAAGGAGAAUAGGUUUGUUUUCUUUUUGAUUUUUAGAAGUAGUGGCUAUAAUGUAGGCGUACAUCUAAAGUUAUUACAUAGAUUUAUUUUUGGGAUAAAGGGGAGAACUUAACAAGGAGAUGAUUUCUCCUAUAUACAUACUGCAUUCUGUGCCCUUAAAGGAGUUGUGGCUCAAUUCGUCUCUUGAGGGUCACGAGCCUUUGGCUGGCGCUAUGAUUGGCCAAUCUACUGUGAGGAGGAUAUGAGUCAUUGUAGGAUUGCACGCGCUUACAGACACAGAGUCCACGAGAGCAUUGAUUCCAGGCAAAAGGCCUCAAAUUCGUUUAGCUUUUAACUGAACUUAAAGACGGACCAAGGAGGAAGGAAAGCAUAGAUUUUGGUUAAGUCUGAUAAACUAGAAUUAGAAUGUAUUGUUACAUUAAAAGGAGCCAAAUGAAAUAAAAAGAGUUAUAUCAAAACAGGUUAUAACACCGGAAAUGUGAGGUAAAAGUGAAGUUAGUGUUAACACACAGGAGUUGUUUCUGGGUAGCAUUUAGCUAUGAUGAAAUUUAUGCAGGAGCAAUUGCUUAUAUGCUUAGACUCAAUUGAUUAAAGUGGAAAUGGGGUUUUGUUUCCUUUGCAGUAGAUCUCGGGACCACAAGGGAGGGUUAGAGCGAGGACACAACCUAUGGCGCUGAAUAAUAGAACAUCAUCACCAUUGCAUUAAUAAUAUAAUUUACACCACAAAUAUAAUUUAAUUUGGAGGUUUAAACAGGGUGUGUCUUUCAGAAAGACUAAGGUGCAUUCUUUUACUAAGCUCUUAGUGGGGGUUUUUGAUGAAAACAUUUAUUCAGCCUCUAGUCGGGUAAAAGGUCAGAAGGGCAACGGGUGAAUUGAUUGGGAGACCAUUUGAGGACGACACAUGCAAUGGAGUAAUAUAGGAUUAGCUCAUUAGGAUCAAACACAAUUUUCAGUAGGUAAUACUGUUAACAUAAUCAUGUCUGGUUUAGUGAGUGGGUUGAGAACUGAUACAUAGAUGACUGAAUUAGUAUUGUUUUGGGGAACGUGUUACCAGGAGCAACUAGGAUCCUGCAGCCAGAGUCGAAAUGACUGAAAUUCAAUGAGGGAAGCUAGGAGACGUUUGUUGUGUUUUAUUUUGGGGUUUUUGAACUAUGGGGAAGGUUUUACCCUGCCACCAAGUUUUAGAGUUGGUAUUUAUUUUUUACCUGUAAGAGAAAGAAUAUUCAGUGGCAAGUCCGAAGACCCGGGCUUCUGUUUAUUUAUUUUUGAUUUUGUUCUAUAUUUUGAACAGUGCACUGAUUUUUGUUUCUGGAUCUUUUCUUUAAGCAGAUCUGCACAACGGAAAUUACAAGCAUUACACGUCGGCGAGAAAAUUGUUGUAAGUGAGUUUCUCCGCAUUGAAAUGGGUUCUGGAGGAAACACUUGUGGGGACAAUUAGAAACGAGAGUCCCUCUCUAAAAGAGGAUUCAGCGAGGUAAUCCAAAUUUAAAUUCUUGUCUUCUUUUUGAGAUGACGUCAUUUUGCUGAGGGCGGACAUCUAAAUGCGGCGAUGGUUUCCACAAUCAGCAAAGAAAGAAAGAAUGGAGGAAUGGAAGAAUGAAUGGAUGAAAGACUGGAAAUAAAAACAAACUGACUGACUGGUAAAAGAUGACAAGACUUGACCAUGACUCAAGGUUAACCACCUCCACCUGGAUAGGACAAAAGGGUGGACGAAUCUAUGUGUUUCUUUCUACAGGAGCAGAAAGAUGACAGCGACAUCUGAGAUUGCACGACGAUUUAACUUUCUGUGUAUGUGAAAUUGUGUGUACACACCUGCGCAGCGUUACUAUUUACAUUUUUCUUCCCUACAGGGGUACAGUUUUUAAUGUUUUUCUAUUACAGGAUUUCUGGGCGGAUGUGUGAAGAAACGGUGUUUAUGGGUUAGGAGUCGGUGAUGCUAUUACACUGUAUUCUGGUGAGAGUGUUGGGGGAGACACACCCUGUCUUGAAAACUGUGAUUCUUGUACAGGAAAUGUUUUAUAGCACCUAUGGAAUGAGGAUGCCUGACUACGGUCAAUGUGCUGCUAAUGUUUGCUUUGCUUUGGUGAGAAGGGUGCAGUAGAAAACAGACAAGUGACAUGAAAACAAAGAGUAAUAAUAACAAAUAACAAAUUUGGGGACAGUUUAACCUAGAGCCCACUAACUGGCCAUUAGGGGUUCUCUCUCUUGAAGUAACAUUGCCCAAAAGGUGAAUAAAACAAAUUGUGGCAAUAAUAGUGAUUUAAUGAUUGGAGAAAUCUGAACAUGAUACUUGUCUGUUGUGCUGAAUAUUUUAUUACUCUUAUGAUUUGCAGGUGGUUGUAAAUAAGCUGUUUGCUUUAACAGGUUUGCUUUUUAGUUGAAUUGCAAAAUACAACUAGAACGAUUAAUUGAGACUAAUGGCAACUAACCUUAGGGUUACGUGCAUGCACGCUUACACACAUAAGCAUGGCAUAGGAUUGGAAUAAACAAAGUCAACAACAUUAGGUUAGGAGAGCCAGCGCAGGAGAGGUGUUGGUUUUCUGUCUCUUGCAGAAAAGGGAGCAGACACCAGACGGGGACACGGAGAUAUGGGGACCCUUCACAGCAACUGGGGUCAAGUGUCAUGGCCUUGGGGCUCCUUGAGAAGAUGGAUCCCAUAAUCACAGCGAUAACCAGGAAGGGGUUGGCGAAAUCUAGGAAUACCAGAGACCAACGAGGUUCGAGAGGCUUUUGGCAAAAAGGGGGACACGGCGGUGACAACGGACAACAAACCCACAGAUCUUUGUUUGAAAGUGUGGCAGAAUAAUCCCCAGAUCUGUGUAACGACUGAAGGGUGGUCUACCCCGGAGGUCGAAGAAAGAAGAAUCCGAGGGCGUUUCUUCACUCCAAGAGGAGGAAUGUGACCAGGAGAUAUUUUAUUUUGUAUUCUUAUGAUCACAGUUAUAAGCAGAAGUAUCAAUCAUUAAUCAUUUACCAUUGUUGAACCAGUUGACAGAAUAAUCUUUGAACUGCAUCUAUGUUAAUAUUAAUCUACACAGAUUAUCAGUACUUUAGUCAGUCUAUUGUUGUUCGGCAUUAUUCUUGUUAUUUGCUUAAAGCUGUUUUACAGUUCGGUAAUCACUCAGAAGCCUGUGGUCCUGCUGGACCCUGCCUUAGUUCUCUGCACGUACGCCGGCCUGUAACCACAUGCACGCACUUAUAUAACAUACGCACGUUCACAUACACAUUUAGUAAUCAUAGGAGGGUCGUCUGAGGACAGUUUUCUGAUGGAUAUACUUUCACAAAAGGCACAAAUGUAGUACACACUUGUUUUUCUCUAAAAACUAGUAGUUCAUGUCCAUAUUAGGUAAACUCUCAGAACAGGCCCAAACUGUUAUCAGUUCCAGUAAUAUCUAACUGUGAGGUCGGCUCAGGACAUGCUCUCUGUUCGAUAUACACACACAAUAGACACGAAUAGAGAUACACACCACACACACACACGGUUUCUCUGAGUGCUGGACUGAGUGGAAACAUCGGGAGGCCAUAUAGGGGAACUUUCUGAGUUCUCCCUGACUGAUACCGAUCAUGUGACUUGACGUCAUCAUUGUAAUAAAACCCUUGUGAAGAAACUGUUCGGGGGAGAUCAGCGCUUAGAGCCUUGUACUGCUCAUCUUCCCCAUAUGUACAUAUGUAUAAUAAAAUCACCUAUUCUGACAUCCACUGAGACCAUGCAGCCGUUUGUCUUUUCCUCAAAUUCGAACCAUGACA